GAUACCCUGGUAGUCCACGCUGUAAACGAUGAAUACUAGGUGUGGGAGGACUGACCCCUUCCGUGCCGCAGUUAACACAAUAAGUAUUCCACCUGGGGAGUACGACCGCAAGGUUGAAACUCAAAGGAAUUGACGGGGGCCCGCACAAGCAGUGGAUUAUGUGGUUUAAUUCGACGCAACGCGAAGAACCUUACCAGGACUUGACAUCCUACUAACGAAGUAGAGAUACAUCAGGUGCCCUUCGGGGAAAGUAGAGACAGGUGGUGCAUGGUUGUCGUCAGCUCGUGUCGUGAGAUGUUGGGUUAAGUCCCGCAACGAGCGCAACCCCUAUAGUUAGUUGCUACGCAAGAGCACUCUAGCGAGACUGCCGUUGACAAAACGGAGGAAGGCGGGGACGACGUCAAAUCAUCAUGCCCCUUAUGUCCUGGGCUACACACGUAAUACAAUGGUGGUCAACAGAGGGAGGCAAGACUGCGAAGUGGAGCAAAUCCCUAAAAGCCAUCUCAGUUCCGAUUGCAGGCUGCAACUCGCCUGCAUGAAGCUGGAAUUGCUAGUAAUCGCGGAUCAGCAAGCCGCGGUGAAUACGUUCCCGGGCCUUGUACACACCGCCCGUCACACCAUGAGAGUCGGGAACACCCGAAGUCCGUAGUCUAACCGCAAGGGGGGCGCGGCCGAAGGUGGGUCCGGUAAUUGGGGUGAAGUCGUAACAA
rnacentral:rRNA from 1 species